CUAUCCUAGAAUAUUCUGCAGUUUUCCAGGUGUGUCCUUUCAGGGUUGUGGUCUCCAUUGAUUGAUUGGCCAGCACCAGGGUAGGGGUCACUAUUCAAUGCAGCUGAAUCUGAUGCCAUGGCUGGUUUUGUUGCUUAUCUGAGCCUGGAG